UGCUUCCCUCAUGGGAAUCAAGUAGCCUUUGGGAGUCAUGGCUUCUGGUGGUGACUGAGCUCAGGGCUGACUACCAGCCCCUAGCAAAGGCAUCUUAUGCCAUCCUUCCCACCAUCACUCUGUGUAAAACAGAUUCUGUUCUGUGCCACGUGGACACUGCUAUUCCAGGCAACAAGAAAGUUCACGCAGCGGGUUUGAUGUAGUGGAUGCCAGCUCAGGAAGUUCUGCGCAUGCGCGGCACCGUUUCCCAGCACCACGCUUGAUUGUGACUUCCACAGAGAUCCUGGACCUUUGGGAAGGAAGACCGGACCACCCAAACAACCAAGCAGCUCUCUGAGAACUAGGCUGGGCUCAGGAAGAAGAGGAUGCCAGAUCAAGCCGGUCACUUCUCCAGCUGCCUCUGUACAGGCGAUCUUAUCACAAAAAGCCCGAUCACCACAGCUUCUCCAGUUCCAUCAUGGCUGACUCCUCCAGCCAGCUCGGAGAGUGAUUUCAAAAUCCCAAGAGCCCAUGAAAACCGCACAGCCAUCAUCAACACAGAUUUUGGCUUAGUUCAGUGAGGACCUGGAGGCCACAUCAGGUCACAUGCUUGGUGAUGGGAAUGGUCGCAGAAAUAGCAUUUUAACCACUAUGGCUGCCAGAGCGUCCAUGGACUGUUACCACUCGCUGUUUGUGCAGUGAGAUCCACUUCCACUAGCCUGUAGGCUGUUGGAUCCAUAAUGUACCGUGAGUAUAGGGCAAUGUAUCAUGAGAGAUGGAGCAGAAGGUCCCUGGGUUCAGCCCUUCUGAGGAGAUCACUAAAUUUAUGUGUACAGUGUAUGUGGUCAUGUUUGCAUACAUGUGUGUUCAGAUAUGUUCAGAGGUCAGAGGUUGAUGUCAAAUGUUUUCUGUUGCUUUGAGAGUGAGUUUUACUAAAUGCAGAGCUUAUCAAUUCUUGGCUAGCCAGCUACUAGCUAUUGAACUCCAGGGAGCCUCUAGUCUGUGCUUUUCCGUUCUCCCCAGUACAGCGGUUACAGGCAUGUGCUGCCAUGCCCAGCUUUUUACAAGGGUGCAAGCACUUUAUAAGCUGAGCUAUCUCCCCAAUUCCAUAAAUGUGCUCUCCAGUCCUACCCCCUAUGCCUGCACCUUUGGGCACCUCUCUGCGUGGAGCUGUAAUUGACCCACGUCCAUCUGGCAGGGCAUGGGGCAUCAUGGUUGAUCCCAGAGGCUCCAAGGUCAAAGGGUCUGGAUGCUAAUUCAAAGCUCAGAGCUCUUCUGGUGGUUGGGCAAUUGACUGGGCCUCAGUGUCCUGUUAAUGAGAGAACAAGGCAGCCAAGGACAGAACUAAUGCAUGCAAAUUGCUACCCCUUUGUAAUUACCAGAUUAGUGCAUUCUGUCAUUCUCCAGCCUUGCCAGUCAGAGGAACCCCUCCAGUCCACCACCGCCACCAGCUACCACCUAGGUCCACUCAGCAAGCACUUUAAGGACACUUAUUUGCCUCUCAAUAGAAGACUCCAGUGGCCCAUCCC